rnacentral:other from 1 species
UUCACCCUGAGAUUUCUCGUGGUACGGUCUGUAUUUUUUACCAACACUUCUUAUAAGGGAUGCUUACUCUGUCGGCGGCGUAUACGCCUCCUUUCCUUCGGGACUGCCAGUGGACAUAUAAUGUCGUCAGGAAGCGACCCACCUGCUUAUGCAGGUAAGAAAUCCGACCGCUUUGUCACGGUUAUCAUGGGGUUUUU